rnacentral:rRNA from 1 species
UGAGUAACACGUAUCCAACCUGCCGUCUACUCUUGGACAGCCUUCUGAAAGGAAGAUUAAUACAAGAUGGCAUCAUGAGUCCGCAUGUUCACAUGAUUAAAGGUAUUCCGGUAGACGAUGGGGAUGCGCUCCAUUAGAUAGUGGGCGGGGUAACGGCCCACCUAGUCUUCGAUGGAUAGGGGUUCUGAGAGGAAGGUCCCCCACAUUGGAACUGAGACACGGUCCAA